AAUAAGAUACCCAGGUAGUCCACGCCGUAAACGAUGAGUGCUAAGUGUUAGAGGGUUUCCGCCCUUUAGUGCUGCAGCUAACGCAUUAAGCACUCCGCCUGGGGAGUACGGCCGCAAGGCUGAAACUCAAAGGAAUUGACGGGGGCCCGCACAAGCGGUGGAGCAUGUGGUUUAAUUCGAAGCAACGCGAAGAACCUUACCAGGUCUUGACAUCCUCUGCCAACCCUAGAGAUAGGGCGUUCCCCUUCGGGGGACAGAGUGACAGGUGGUGCAUGGUUGUCGUCAGCUCGUGUCGUGAGAUGUUGGGUUAAGUCCCGCAACGAGCGCAACCCUUGAUCUUAGUUGCCAGCAUUCAGUUGGGCACUCUAAGGUGACUGCCGGUGACAAACCGGAGGAAGGUGGGGAUGGACGUCAAAUCAUCAUGCCCCUUAUGACCUGGGCUACACACGUGCUACAAUGGAUGGUACAAAGAGCUGCGAACCCGCGAGGGUAAGCGAAUCUCAUAAAGCCAUUCUCAGUUCGGAUUGU
rnacentral:rRNA from 1 species